GGGGUCUGUUACACCUGGUUGGAGGAGGUGUUGGGGUCUGUUACACCUGGUUGGAGAAGGUGUUGGGGUCUGUUACACCUGGUUGGAGGAGGUGUUGGGGUCUGUUAUACCUGGUUGGAGAAGGUGUUGGGGUCUGUUAUACCUGGUUGGAGAAGGUGUUGGGGUCUGUUACACCUGGUUGGAGGAGGUGUUGGGGUCUGUUACACCUGGUUGGAGGAGGUGUUGGGGUCUGUUAUACCUGGUUGGAGAAGGUGUUGGGGUCU